AAAAUUUUGGUAGAAAGGGAUCCCAUAAAAACUUCUUUCGAGCAAUGGGUCAGACCCGAUCAUUUCUCAAGAACAAUAGCUAAAGGGCCUGAUACUACUACUUGAAUUUGGAACCUACAUGUUGAUGAUGCUCACGAUUUUGAUAGCCAUAAUAGUGAUUUGGAGGAGAUAUAUCGAAAAGUAUUUAGUGCCCAUUUCGGACAACUUUCUAUCAUCUUUCUUUGGCGGAGUGGCAUGUAUUUCCACGGUGCUCAUUUUUCCAAUUAUGAAUCAUGGUUAAGUGAUCCUACUCACAUUGGACUUAGUGCCCAUGUGGUUUGGCCAAUAGUGGGCC